CAGACCUCUUGCAGCAUGAACUGACAUGUUGUCCAAUCAAAGGAUCAGAGAAUUAAUCUAGUACUGAACGCAUAAACUACAGCUAGCUAGCACUGCAGUGUAUCAAAUGUGGCGAGUAGUUGACUCAAAGAGAGUUGAACAGUUUGGAACAAAUUCAUUUCUUCCAAAAUGAAGGAGAAGCAAGAGAAAUAGAGAGAUCGUCAUAUUUUUUCACUUUCAGUUUCACUUACUUAGCUAGCAAAUGCAGCUAGCUAGUUUGACUACUGAAACACCCUACUCAAACAGAGGGCUGCUAUGUUAGCUAGCUGGCUAUGACUUUCCAACACUAGAACUCUUCCAAGUCAAGGACCAGGGCUGACUUCCUUAGUGGCUGAUGUGAUGGGUGGGGGUGGUGCUUCAAGAGGAGUGCCAUACUCGUACUCAAGGUGCACUAUGCCACCUUUCGCCAGGAUCUUCAGCGUGCAUUUUGGAGACCGGGGGUGAUUGUUUUGUGUGCAUAUUUCCGACACACAACUCAUUGAAUAACCACGGCUGCACAUGACCAAUGUGGAUUGGAGGGCAUCUUCAGGUAACUUCUUGGGGCUUUCUAGAAAUUGACAAGCAACAUAUCUGGAAUCCAGCAGCACGCUCCGACAAGGUAG
rnacentral:lncRNA from 1 species